GAUCCUGGCUCAGGAUGAACGCUAGCGACAGGCUUAACACAUGCAAGUCGAGGGGCAGCACAGGUAGCAAUACCGGGGUGGCGACCGGCGCACGGGUGAGUAACGCGUAUGCAACUUACCUAUCAGGAGGGGGAUAACCCGGCGAAAGUCGGACUAAUACCGCAUGAAGCAGGGGCCCCGCAUGGGGAUAUUUGCUAAAGAUUCAUCGCUGAUAGAUAGGCAUGCGUUCCAUUAGG
rnacentral:rRNA from 1 species